rnacentral:sRNA from 1 species
UUUUAGCCCUGAUGGCAAUGGAAAUCCUUCGCGAAAAAGAUUGAAAUGUACAGCGGGAUUAGCU